GAUAAGGACUGUGAUGUUCCUGCAACCUGGAGAAUUACAGAGGAAUUUCUUUGUGGCCCAGAAGGCGCUGACCUCAUUCCUCCACCUUCCCACGCCCAGCAGUUUACAGGUUCAUUGGGAAAGAUUAAGGCUGGAGGUGGAACUGUGUGCUGGUGGGCAGGAAGAGGAAAACGCUGCCUAGCACUGCCCUGGAGUGAGCGAUAAAUCUGUAUGAAGGAGAAGGACGUGGGGAUCCAGGGACAAAAAGUGCAGGACAAAGGACAGAAGAACACCCAGCAGCAAACAUAUUUCCUUCUAAGCCAGCAAUGUUUUAUGCACGUGGGGAUCCCUUUGUGCCCAACUCCACCAAAGCUCCCUUCAAAGUAUGCACAGAUGCAAGCAACAGGGAGAAGGCGAGACCUGAGGAAUGCACUCUGAGCAGCAGCAGGAAUCACUCAGCCUCAGUGAUGCUCUGUGUUUUCAGCUGGGGCUGAUGCUCCCCCAGUCCUUCUGUCAGCAGGGCAGGGCUGGGAGAACACACUCAAUAGCAGUGAAAUCAAAGGGCACAAAUCAUGUUUGAACACAUCUGUAUCUGCCAAGCAAGGUCUUGUGGAUCUCAGAGGUAAGACUGCUUUCUCAGUGUGGUGUUCUCUAAAGAGCAAAUGGUGGAGUGUGGGACAGGCAGGGAGGCAUCGGCCAGCUUGAAAUGGGGGCUGUAGGGGCUGUGGCACAUGGAUCUGGAUCUCCAGAGGCGCUGAUGAGAAAUCCACACUGCUUGGUGCCCGGCAGGACACAGGAACCUGAGGGAGCCAUGGUCAUGCCAGUCCCUGAGCCACAUCAUGAGGGUCUUGUCACACAAUCUUGAGUCAGAAAGACCUGACCUUUCCUACCAGGCCAUUUGCCAGCUGAUCUGGAAAGGCCAUCUGCCCCCACCACAGUGCCACCACAUGCCCCUCCUGGCCAGGGUGAUGACAGCCAAUCUCAGCAGCCUCCCACAGCUAGGAACCGAGCAUGCCCAUGUUUGCUCUUUGUUUUUGCACUUUGCAGGUUUGUUUUUCCACCUUUUGCUUCCAGGAGCUGUUUAUUAUGCCAGGAAAAACAAAAACAAAAUCAAAUUCCACAAAAGAAACAAGGGAGAAAGCAACAUGCAAGCACUAUCCUGUCUGCUCAGGAUAUUUCCAUCUCUUUACUUUAUUCUCAACAGCUUUCUGAAUGUGUGACCUAAGCAAAGUCUUCAGUGUGGCCCAUCCUCCUGUCACGCAGCCCUGUCCUGCAGGCACAGGCAGCCCCACCGCCUGCAUGCCAUUAGCACAGGUAAAGCACCAUACUUGCAAAGUGGCAGCACAGCAGCUUUAUCUGCUUUUACCUUCUUCCACAAACAGCAGGUAGGCUGGUGUGCCACAACCCUCCCUCCAUCCUUUGCUUGCUGCUAAAUCAUUCUGGGGAUGCUAGAAGUUGGCCAUAGGGAGCUCGGGGCACUCACAGCUCCAGACCCGCUGAUUAAGAUAAACAGUCACUGUGACAUUUUCCUAAUUAUGGAGAAGACGUUCCUAAACAGGACUCAACUCACUGGAACCAAUGGAAAAAAUAAUAACUUACAUUGCUGCAGUAUUUUUCAUCCUGUAAGAUCCAACGGUAUGCUAUAAAUAUAAUUUAUGUGCAGGGAUUAUUCUGCUCGUCACUGAAACACAACAACAGUGUAAGUGAGCAGGAGCAGGAUAUGGAAAAAGAGCACUGUGGGUUUAGGUCAGGUUUUGUGAGCAAAGAGGGGCCCGUGCAGAAAAACUCAUCUGAAGGGGAAUUUGAGCAGGUUGGGGCCUGGAGCCACUUGUAACAAACAUGGUUGUUCAGUGAAUGCUGCUGGUCAGGACUGUGAGUUUUGCCUCCCUUUGGCAAAUUAUCAGCUGUUUCAAAAUGAUCCAAGCACCGUCCUUUGCAGAUUUCUCUUUAAAAUCACCCUGGGGCUUAGCAGUGCCUUCACAAGGAACACUUGCUGCAGAGUGGCUUGGUGCAGCUACUCAUUCUAUGAGCAUUCAGCAAAAUGAUCUUCUCCAUGAGCUGUGUGCCCAGGUUAUGAAAGGAAACCCAAAGCCCGGCCGGCUGCAGGGAGUCAGGCAUGAGCUGCAAACAAACAAAGCCUAGGAAGGAAUCUCAGUCUGGCUUUUGGUGAUGGAUUUUAUUUGACUCGGGUUACACAGAUCAGAGCUACAGAUGUCACCAUUUAUCACUUCAUCUCCAAGGGGGUAAAUAUUGCCUGAGCAGGUCCCAGCACUGGAAUAUGGGUGUAUGGAGUAUGGUCAUUUGUUGCAAGCAGAACUCUCUCCAGCACCCAACACAGCUGGGUGCUGGCUGUCCCCUCACACAGGCGGGCAGUGGCAGAACAAAUCUCCAUCCAGGCCAUCUACCCCAGCUCUCAUCCUGUCCCCAGCACUGCCCUGCUGAUAGCCUGAGUUUUCCAGGAAUUUCACAUAAACAUCUCCCUGAAGCACAUUAAUGACUGUUUAUUUGCCUUGUGCUGUUGCCUCCUUUCUUGGUCAUGGUUGCAAGACGAGAUUUUUUCUUUUUUUAAACUUCAAUGGAAAAGGAAAUGAAUAGCUUCCUCCAGCUACUGCCUGCUGGCCGCCAGAGCAGCUGUCAGCCACAGAGGGUGACUUGUGACCCCGAAAAUAUUGGCAGCGUGUCCUCAGGCUUUGGGAGGGCUUGGGAGUCAAGCAGGAGAGGUGGCUGCUGCUCCUCAGCCCCACACUCCCUGUGAGGAUGAUGCGUCCAGUAAAACUCAUCUCACUCAUUGAAAAGUCACCUCGCUCCUCCUGUAGGCACUGCACAGGUACAGCUAGAAGCAGUUCGGCACCUCCUCAGCUCUGAGCAAAGUGAAACAGCAAAGCUCCAGAGCUCCUUCUAUGCUGUUUGCUGAGCUGAAGAUGGUCAGAGGCCACAGAGUGACGUCUCUUUGAAGCCCAUCCUCAGUGACAGACAGCUCAGCACCGAGGCUUGGCCCUGCACACUCAUUCUGUGAAGUCACCAUGACCCCUAGAGGGAGAGGUGCACAGUUUUGCUGAGGCUGCUGCACACUUCUUUGCCUGCCUGGGAUCUUGCAAACCCUCAUCCUCCUCUUUCCAUUGCCAGUUUCCCACUGGGUCCAGCUAUACUGGGAUGAGCUUCCCCUGAGCCUCAUGAGAUGCUUUCCUGGCAUCUGCAGAUUUCAUUCCUGGGUUUUCAUCACCCAUAAGAGAAGGUUACGUGGAUUUUGUUAUUCCAGCAGUGAGUCAAUAUUUAUUGUGCAAUUGUUUUUCUAGCUAGAAGAAAGCCUAUGUUGCAUGACCCAAAUGUAGCUUCCUUAGAAUCUACCCUGUAUACAGAAUAGAUUUCAUGGUAACUUUCAUUUUUGACAUUUUCCAUGGAUCUAUUUUUCACAUUACCUUAUUUUCCAUGAAUAUUCACUGGGUUUUUUUGGUCUCACAUCCUCACUGGCAUCUUAUUGUUCAGCUUCUGUUUUUUCCUGUUUUGCUCCCUCUUUUCCUGCCUGAGCCACCAGGGCUUACACCUCAUGUCUUCAAAGGUCAACCUAUGGCAAGUAAGCCCUUGGAAAUCCCUUAUGGAAGGUUCAGAGCCUUAAAAUCUCCUUCAGCUCACCAGGUCUGAAAGGUAAUUCGGGAUGGAUCUCAUGCCAAAGAUUAAACUCCACAGCAGAGGACAGCCAUGGAGAGUGCUGCGAUAGAGCUUCACUCCUGGGUGGAUGCAACCAACCUGUCACUAUCACACACUUAGGAGCAUGGCUGUGCUUUUGUCCUCCAGUUCUCACUGCAUCAGGGCCUGACUCUACCCCGAGGCUCUGUAUUCCCCAUGGACUGGGAAGGACUUAUACUCAGUAGCAAUCUGGAUGGGAUUAGUGGUGAACAUUCCCUACAGGCUGCCACUAUUUAUAUUUUUUUCUUCUGCCAUCAUUGUACUUAUUGUGCCCUCUAUCUCCAUUUCUGGCUGGUCCAGGAGGACAAAGCCUCCCUGGAUGCUCUUCUAAGUGGGAGCCACAGUGCAAGACUCAUAGAGUCAUAGAAUAGCUUGGGUUGGAAGGGACU